rnacentral:rRNA from 1 species
UGGGGAAUUUUGGACAAUGGGCGAAAGCCUGAUCCAGCAAUGCCGCGUGUGUGAAGAAGGCCUUCGGGUUGUAAAGCACUUUUGUCCGGAAAGAAAUCCUUGGCUCUAAUACAGUCGGGGGAUGACGGUACCGGAAGAAUAAGCACCGGCUAACUACGUGCCAGCAGCCGCGGUAAUACGUAGGGUGCAAGCGUUAAUCGGAAUUACUGGGCGUAAAGCGUGCGCAGGCGGUUUGCUAAGACCGAUGUGAAAUCCCCGGGCUCAACCUGGGAACUGCAUUGGUGACUGGCAGGCUAGAGUAUGGCAGAGGGGGGUAGAAUUCCACGUGUAGCGGUGAAAUGCGUAGAGAUGUGGAGGAAUACCGAUGGCGAAGGCAGCCCCCUGGGCCAAUACUGACGCUCAUGCACGAAAGCGUGGGGAGCAAAACAGGAUUAGAUACCCUGGUAGUCCACGCCCUAAAACGAUGUCAACUAGUUGUUGGGGAUUCAUUUCCUUAGUAACGUAGCUAACGCGUGAAGUUGACCGCCUGGGGAGUACGAUCGCAAGAUUAAAACUCAAAUGAAUUGACGGGGUCAUAGCUGUUUCCU